UACGUAGGGGGCGAGCGUUGUCCGGAAUUAUUGGGCGUAAAGAGCGUGUAGGCUGUUCGGUAAGUCUGCCGUGAAAACCUGAGGCUCAACCUCGGGCGUGCGGUGGAUACUGCCGGGCUAGAGGACGGUAGAGGCGAGUGGAAUUCCCGGUGUAGCGGUGAAAUGCGUAGAUAUCGUCUGGAACGCCGGUGGUGAAGACGGGUGACUUGGCCGGUUCUGACACUGAGGCACGAAAGCGUGGGGAGCGAACGGG
rnacentral:rRNA from 1 species